AUGUUGGAAUCACAUGAUUCAGUGAUUCAGUCAAUGUUGGAAUCACAUGAUUCAGUGAUUCAGUCAAUGUUGGAUUCACAUAAUACAGUGAUUCAGUCAAUGUUGGAUUCAAAUGAUCCAGUGAUUCAGUCAAUGUUGGAUUCAAAUGAUCCAGUGAUUCACUCAUUGUUGGAUUCACAUGAUUCAGUGAUUCAGUCAAUGUUGGAUUCACAUGAUUCAGUGAUUCAGUCAAUGUUGGAUUCACAUGAUUCAGUGUUUCAGUCAAUGUUGGUUUCACAUGAUUCAGUCAAUGUUGGAUUCAAAUGAUCCAGUGAUUCACUCAUUGUUGGAUUCACAUGAUUCAGUGAUUCAGUCAAUGUUGGUUUCACAUGAUUCAGUCAAUGUUGGUUUCACAUGAUUCAGUCAAUGUUGGAUUCAAAUGAUCCAGUGAUUCACUCAUUGUUGGAUUUACAUGAUUCAGUGAUUCAGAUCAGUCUGUGUUGGUGUUUAGAUGUGUCUUAUGUCUUGCCUGGUGUUUGAUUCUCAUUUGUUAGUGAACAGAAUCAAUAUACUAUGUAAUACAAUAUAAUAUGAUUCACCAAUGGUGUCAAUGACGAAACGUUUCUCCAUGUGAUGUUUGUAGAAAAAAACACUGAUAUUUCAUGUCUAUAACAUCUAAAAUGUAAGAUUUUCACAGUUCACAAUGACGCCAGCACAGAGAUGUAUAAAGUUUUGUGAAUUUGCAUUAUCAGUUUGUGAUCAUACACUGUGCUGAAGGCCUGUGAGAAUCUCCGUCACUAAUCACACUAAUGAAACGAAUGAUUGACGGAUUCUUAAUCAUGUGGCCAUAAAAGUACAACAAGAGCCUGUUUGUACUUCACUGCUAUGUAAAUAACGUUUAUUACCCAGUGUUACGCUAGAUUGAAACAAUAACUGCAUGAAAAACCUUGUGUCAAAGGUCAUGUUUACGUUGAAAUUAUAGUUUUAAAAUAAAAGUUGUUUGUAAAACUUCUCUAAACCUCUCAGACUCGUUGCAUUAUUGAAGGUAAUUCUGAGCGAAGGGGACUGCGAUCUCUCCGCUUUGACCUCGCUGUCUUUACCUCACAUUUUUCCCACAGUUCCUCAUGUCUCGGGCGUUGUGUUAACCUCUUGUGCUCAUGCAGAGCUGUGGGAUCAGGUUAACCCUUUGAAGUGUGCUUAAGAGAAUCUGUGAUCUUCUGGCUGCAGAUAUACAACCAUCACAUCUCAGACCUCUGGGACUCGGCUUUUCUAAAGGUUACAUAUUUAUGGCACAAUAUACACUACCAUACUUAUACAAAUGAAUAACUUUAUUUAGCAAAGAUGCAUUAAGUGGAUCAAUAAAGACAUUUAUAAGAAUCUUUUUUUUUUUUUUAAAUAAAUGCUGUUCUUUUGAACUGUCUAUUUUUCAAAGAAUCCUGGAAAAUAAAAUGUAUCAGUUUCCACAAAAAACUGUUUUCAGCAUUUAUAAUUAUCAGAAAUAUUUAUUGAGAAUUAUUUCUGAAGAUCAUGUGACACUGAAGACUGGAGUAAUUAUGCAUUUUACAAUAUAAUCACACAGAAAAUAUUUCACAAUUUACCUUUUUUUUAAUUUUUUUUAUUACUGUUUUUCUGAUCAAAUAAAUGCAGCCUAAAAAUUCUUUUGAAAGUGUUACCACAAGUCUUAAACAUUAUGCAUUUAUAAUUGCUUAAUAGCCAUGUAUGUCCAAAAUCAGUAAACCCAGUAAGCAAGAAAAUGGCUUUUUAAAUUUAAAAUAUGUGCUAAAAAUGUUUAAUUCCUCCAUCUAGAAUGGCAUUUUUUUUUUUUGCAGUUUGAGUUACAGUUUAACUAUAAUAACUCUGAUCCCUAUAGUAAUAGAGUAGCUAUUGUUAUGUUGUAAUUCCUAAUAUUGAAACAACCCAAUAAAGUAAUUAAACAUGUUACCUUUCAGAAUUUAAGACAAGUUAGAAGUUAUCCUAACUUUAAGAAUUAUGAUUUUUAAGAAUAUUAUUUUCAGAUCAACCUUAAGAAAAUAUUCUUAUGAACAUCAGGAAAAAGUUUUGGUGGUACAAAUUCAGAGAUUCAGUAAACGGUAGAUUCACAUGAUUCCGUGCAGUAAGUGCAUUACUGUAAUUGUUGCUUAUUUACUGAAACAAAAUCUGUAUUUGUUCAUUUGACUUAACUUGCAUUGACCCAAACCAAAACAAUAACAAUAAAUGCUCAAAUAUCAGCAAAUCUAUGACUAUGUUUGACCAACAUCUAGGAAAUGAAAGAUUUAAAUACGCCAUACAUCUUUGGUCAAAUUAAUAUUUAUUUCCCACGCUCUUCCGGCUGCUGUAAAGUGACUCCUUCCUUUGGUUUGCUUUCAGACGCUCUCGACUCAGAAAGCAUCCUGGUUUUAUACACUUAUUUUCUGGAAAACGCUGCGGUCAGACCACAAUUUGAUGUUGGCUCUCUAUUUUGAGCAAAGGGCCGCUUGGUUCUCCACAAAUGAGGGCAAAC
rnacentral:lncRNA from 1 species